CCAAACAUUAAAUUUUUUAUUUAAUAAAUAUGUAUCAUUACUGUUUGAGAAUAAAUUCAGAGGAGUCGUAGAAGUUUAAAAGUUCUAAAUUAAUCGUUAUAAGUAAUGUGAAUGUUAAACGGAGUUUAAACCAAAGAUUAUAAUAGUUUUCUUCGUUGUAAUUGUACAAGCAUAAUUGUCAACGAUGUUCGAAUGGGCAUAUGACGGUGUUAAUGCCUCUAUACCGCGUAACUCAGGACCAGAAUGUGCUUACUACUUGAGCCCAAAACGAAGGAUAAUCGAAACAUCGCUGGUAUCUAUAUUCAUAAUAAGCCUCCUCGUUUGGGGUUACAAACGAAUUAGAUUACCACCUCGGGUAUCGUACGUAGAUCAUGAUCGCGUUGGCAGAAGAGUAUUGUUGAUUAUUAUGUCACUAGUAUUGGGAAUGGAAUUAGGUUUUAAACUUACCAGCAGAACAGUUGUAUAUAUUUUUAAUCCCUGUCACAUAAUAACAGCAGUGCAGUUGUACUUGCUGGCUGCUGAACCCAGUCCAACAGUAACAGCAAUCUUUAGGAUACAUUUAAAUUUCAUGAAUGGACCAGUUUUAGCAUAUUUAUUCCCAGAGAUUGAGUCUAGAAAUAUAUUCGCUGACAAAGCUCUAUACUACAUUCAGCAUGGCUUGAUGAUAGUAAUCCCAUAUUAUUUGCUGAGACUUGGAGGUGUUUAUAAUAUCGAGCCUCUAUCGGACAUGAGCUGGUGCAUUUUCAGUUAUGGACUGAAUUUAGUGUAUCAUUUCUGGAUUCUUCAAGCUAUUGCUUGGCCCAUACAAGUGAAUCUUAGUCACAUGUUGUGCGCGGCUGUUCUGGAUCCAUUCGCAGGACAAAAUUAUCGACUGUGGACGAUAGUCCAUCAAGGACUACUAUGCCCGAUAUUAUGCAAGUCGCUGUGCUACGCAUCCGAUUUCUUUCUAACAAGGUUCCUACCGACCAAAGUAAAACCCUCGCUCGAGUGUAUACUUCCGAAAAAGAAAAGUAAAUACGAAUGUAACGAGAAAUUACGCGAAGAUACAAACGUCUCAGGGAACGGACACACGCGCGUGAACUAAGUCCAAUAUACCUCGUAAUACAAUGCUAACCUCUAUGAACACUUUGCUGCAAUUAAGUAAGUACUUAACAGUUAAGGGGGGGAAAACAAACGUGUUUAUAUGUUAAUAACUGUACGAACGCAAGACAUCUUGUGUUUGUAUUUGCGUCUGUAAUUGAACAGAUGCCACCUCUCGGGCAAGGCUGUUGAACUAACUCCCCGCCAUCGCAAUACUGCUCCUACUACCGGUCUAACAGGCCACGAGUUUGGCAGCCCUGCUGUAAGAAAUGCAGGUUUCUUUCAGUACAAUCGAUGAGAGUAAUCAAUGCGAGUGCAAAAAGACGUAAAGAAGAGAUCAACAUUGUUCGCGUCGAGUACGCAAUUGUAAAGGCCUCAAAAAAAGUUUAACUUAGAACCUCAAUAGAGCACGAUAGCAAAUUCUUUUUUUUUUACCACUGAUUGUUUUCCAUUGCACAUAGAAUAACAGCUAUGCAAACAAAACUGUGUAACAGGAUAUUCUCGAUCCAUGUACUCGGAUGAUAUUAAAAGUAUACUCAAAUUUGAACGAAUUGUAUAGCGGACGUUGUGCUAUAAUGUAUUAUAAGUGUUUCAGACCACUGUCUUAUGGCAGACUUAGCAAAUUAACACACAUUAUACGUACUGUGUACAAAAAGGAUUGUGUGCGUUUGUGUAUACUUGACUUUUUAGGGUUGUAGUAGUGUUAUCUUGCCAGAAAUAUCCAAAGAGAUUCGUUUUGCAAUAAUGAAACCAAACUCCAGACUUAUUUAAUUUUAUGAAAAUUCAAAAUCAAAUUUAUAUGUUCUUGUCUCUUUAUUGGUCGUUUACUGUCACAUAUAGAAAGUUACUUUCGUAGUGUCCAGUUUAUAUGUUCGAUUUCGAAUCUACGAUCUGAUAAUGAAAUAUUCGUCAGAUCGUCGUGAUUUCGAAUCGUUCCUGAUUUAGAAUUUGCGUGGUAGUGGAGGGAUUGUUUGACGAGGCGUAUAACAGAUCGCGAUUGUUAUAUUUUUCUAAGCUGCAAGGAGUACUGUUUCCAUAGUGGUAGAACAAAGGUGCAACUUUGGAAGCAUAAGAUGCGAAUUGUAUGUCGAACGCAGGUGCAAGACGGGAAAAUAUUUGUAACUUAAU